rnacentral:lncRNA from 10 species
CACGGCUGACUAAUUUUUGUAUUUUUAGUAGAGACGAGUUUCACCAUGUUGGCCAAGCUGGUCUCGAAUUCCUGACCUCAUGAUCCACCUGCCUCAGCCUCCCAAAGUGCUGGGAUUACAGGUGUGAGCCACCGUGCCAAGCCUGGAGGUUAACUUUAAUCAGAAGCCAUAAGUGAGAGAGGACAUUUCAAAUUCAGUCAGACAUGACCUUUUCUUCCUGGGUCACUCCCUUGCAGCUACCCGUAUCUUUCUUAGGACACUUCUGGAAUUAUAUAAAAGUAUAGCCAUUUGUGUGCAUGCCUUCUAGGCCACAGGCUUAGUGAAGGUGGGAAUCAUUUGCGUCUAUAUUCUCGACAAUGACCAGCCUAGUUCUUUACGCUUUGGAAAUGUCCAAUGCAUGUUUGCUGAAUGAAUCGAUGAGGCAUGCGGACUUUUGAGGGACACAGAAAUUACAAGAUGGGUAAUAGAAGAAGGAAGUGAAGAAUAAGUGCAGGAGAUGGGGGAGAGUGGCAGAUAUUACCUGCUUGCCUUUUCCUUUCACCCAGAAGAGGUGUUAGAGCAGUCGGAGGAAAUGGACAUACUUUGGAAGACAGAGACCUGGUAAUCCCUUUUCACCCAAGAAGAACCAAGCCCUGGAUGAAUGGAUGAGCAGCUCACGUUUUUCUGCCCCCCACCCCCAGUCUUUCUGAGACUGACUUUGUCCUAGGAAUUGUUCGUCCCUCUGGAAGCUAGUCUGGAAUUCAGAGACCUGGAGGGAGAAGACACAUGGACUGUCAGAUCUAGAGACCUGCUUCCUUCAAUAGCUGAUUUUCUUUCAUUUGUGUCAGAAACAGGCAGCAUGGCACAGAGCCAUGCACCUAAAACUUUAUUGUGCAUAUUUAUUCCUAGAGAUCUUGUUAAAAUGCAGAUUCAGAUUCAGCCAAUCUAGGGUCAGGGCUUUCUAUUGUAAUAAGUUCCAAGGUAAUGCCAAUGCUGCUGGUCCAUGGACUGCACACUUUGAUGAGAAGUUUAGUAAGGAUAUAGAGGAAAGAAUACUACACGUGUAGUAGUAAUUUCUGGCUUUUAGUAUCAGCUCUGCCAUUUACCAGCUUGCUUUCUUGGACAAGUCAUUUUUCCUCUCUGGAUUUUAGUUUCCUCAAAUAUAAGCUGGGUGAUAGAGGAGGAGGUUGGGUUAGGUUAUUUCAAAGCUUGCAUUCAUAGACUCUUCAAAGUGAUGUUUUGAUUAAAAAACUCCACCUAUAGGAUCACGUACAGCUUUUCAAAGGACUAGCAGGUGAACUGGCAUUAUCAAAGCAGAAAAUAUAGGGGCUGGAGCAGGAAGGCAUGGCAAAGUCAGAGAAAAGGAAGGUGAGCCAUAAUAACUUCUUAUGGCAAAUAUAACACUUUGAUUAUUUCAGAGUGAUGGAUUUUGAAUUAAAACUGUUAUCCUGAGAGAGGCUACUAUUUUUCCCAACAACUAUCUUAGGGGGAGACCUGCAUUACUGAAAACUGAGUUGCAUAAGAAACUUGAGUGAAGGAAGCAAUGGAUAUGUUAGUGCUUUGAAAUAAGCAAAUGCUUACAGGGGCUGUGAGGGAAUCAUGGCUGGAGGGAAGCUUUCUGGAGCCAUGAGGGAGUCUGAUUUGAAAACAGCAGUUCAUCUCUGCUGCAGACCAUUUAUCUAAUUUCAGACAAAUUGGCCAGAAAUUCAGGUAUUUGGCCACUGCUAGCAGAUGUAACAGGGAGAAAUGCAGUCUCCUACAAGGGUUAGGAGAGCAAGGUGCCAGGGGUCACCCAGGGGCAUAAAUAGGCAAGGAGAAGGAGGGGGUGAAAAAGGAACACAGAUGAUGUAAGUGAAUGAAUGAAGCUUCUGACCAUCUGAGCCUCUGGCGGCAGCCCUUCCCCAAGAGCUCACGCAUCUCUGUUUUGAGCAGGAAACAGGAUCAGACAGAAAGGGCUCCCCAGACUCACAGAUACAAGCUAGUUUCUCAUUAAGUCCCAAAGCAAAGUCAGGGGAGUGGAGAAAACUCCUGGUGCUGGCGCCUCUUCCAACGUUAGGUUGAGGAAUACAGGAGAUGUUUACCUUAUGCAGGACGUGGUCGUUGAAGUCAGGGCCAGCUCCUCCCUGGUAGGAAU